GAUGAAGAACGUAGUGAAAUGCGAUAAGUAGUGUGAAUUGCAGAAUUCAGUGAAUCAUCGAAUCUUUGAACGCACAUUGCGCCCUUUGGUAUUCCUUAGGGCAUGCCUGUUCGAGCGUCAUCUAAACCUUCAAGCACUGCUUGGUGUUGGGUGCCUGUCCCGCCCCCGCGCGUGGACUCACCUCAAAUCCAUUGGCGGCCCUCACGUCGGCUACGAGCGCAGCAGAAACGCGAACUUGUGGACCCGGCGGAGUGGCUACCAGAAGCUACAUUCACCAUUUUGACCUCGGAUCAGGUAGGGAUACCCGCUGAACUUAAGCAUAUCAAUAAGCGGAGGA
rnacentral:misc_RNA from 1 species